GCGAUUUAGUACAUUUUGAUAAUUUGGGCUUAAUGGGCCAAAGAUCGGGUUCAUGGGCCAACGGGCCCAAUUCGGUAAUCCCCAACCAUAGUGGGCUUGGAGCUGUGAGGGAAUUCGGAGUGGCCACCCGUUCUGAAAGUUUGAUUUUCUUCUGGUGAACUGGACAUCCUUUUAAUUACGUUUGAGGUUUUGGGCUUUUAAAUGUAAUAAGGCCGCUUAUUUA